GUGUUCACUGGAAACUUACUGGAACCCUACUGUUGAUGAAAAAAAAAAUUCGACUGAGGAAGCUUGUAGUGGUGUUAGUUUUUCCACACUACUGGUAUAUAGUGGCUUUAAUGCGGACAACCACCGUGAGAGAGGAAAAAACUCGACCUCUUUCAAGAACUGAACCACUAUAGUGCUGCUGAGGGGGGAAACUCACCUCUAAAUGGCAGCAGAGGCUCUGAUACC
rnacentral:lncRNA from 1 species